CGUUCCUACGCCCCUGCCCUAACAGUAGGCCUACCUUGGCCUCCAGCUCCCACUAAAAAGCCGGUUAUAUCGGCCUGCCCAGCAUGCUUAUACCAAUGAACGUGGAAGGAGACUUGAGCCGGAUCAAUGAAGUGGGGGACGAAAAGAGAAAGCGGAGGAUGACAAGCGGCCGGCUCCGGCUCCGGCUCCCUGCCCUCGUCGGGAUUCCCUUUCUCGGGCGAGUCAUCAUGAGUCCCAGGCAGCAUGGGGCACAAGGCAGGGGACGCCCUGGACGGGAUGCAAGGGCAUCACAGGACGCACACAGAGGAAAGUGGAGUACCUGGAAAUAAUCCAUGCAAACACGGGGAGAAUAUGCAAGUUAACUGUUCACAUCCCCAUUUAUUUGUCGCAACCUGAAAAAAACAUCGGUAAUUAUGUUGUAUCGGUUUUUGGCCCCAGAACUGACAUCUUUGUCUUUUGUUUUGCGAUUCUGGCAGCAAAGAGCUGUGACAUGCUUCCUGGAGACAGCAGAGACAGGCUGAGGGGGCUGACGCCGUGUCACGUCCCUCCGCUGGGCCUGGAGUGACAGGGAAGAUUAUUUCAUUGGCACCUUAAUGAAAGUGCCACGAUAAUGAGCGAGCUAGCAUCCUGAACCCCCCAAACACACACCGGAUCAGCUUACACCAUCCUGGGAAACACACACACAGACACACACAGACACACAUGUUCCAACCACACUAACAGUGGGUGAGGGGUAUAGUACUGACAUAACCUUUACACCCCUACACCCCCAAGUGAGUGACCACAGUCACAGAUAAGGGCGAUAAAAAGCACCUGUAUGUUUCAGUUACAGUUCCUUCAGUUUGACAGCACUCAGUCCUAAAUGUUGGUGCAUGUUUGACACAAGAAAUAGCAAAACAUAAAUACUUAACAGAGUCUUACUACUCUACUACUUACUAAAUUGCCAUCAUGAAGUACUACUUGUAAAGAACUUACGAACAACUUGGCGAAACCUUCAUGAACAGUGAAUCAUCUCUUUCAAGAGCUACAUAAAUGUUUA